UGGGGAAUAUUGCGCAAUGGGGGGAACCCUGACGCAGCAACGCCGCGUUAAGGAAGAAGGCUUUCGGGUUGUAAACUUAUGUCUGGUGGGAAGAUAGUGACGGUACCACCGGAGGAAGUCACGGCUAACUACGUGCCAGCAGCCGCGGUAAUACGUAGGUGGCGAGCGUUGUCCGGAAUUACUGGGUGCAAAGGGCGCGUAGACGGGUUAAUAAGUUAGAUGUGAAAUACCGGGGCUUAACUCCGGGGCUGCAGUUAAAACUGUUGAUCUUGAGUGCAGGAGAGGGAAGCGGAAUUCCUAGUGUAGCGGUGAAAUGCGUAGAUAUUAGGAGGAACACCAGUGGCGAAGGCGGCUUUCUGGACUGUAACUGACGUUGAGGCGCGAAAGCGUGGGUAGCAAACA
rnacentral:rRNA from 1 species